rnacentral:tRNA from 1 species
GCCUGGGUGGCUCAGUCGGUGAAGCAUCUGACUUUAGCUCAGGUCAUGAUCUCAUGAACUCAUGUGAGUUCAAGCCCCACGUUGGGCU